AUAUAGGGAAGUCUAUCUUUAAGAAGGAGUAUAUUACUCUUUCAAAAAAGAAUCCAGGUUGUUUCCCCUUUAAGUUAUCUUGUUGU
rnacentral:pre_miRNA from 1 species